rnacentral:tRNA from 1 species
UGGGAGCGUGGCGGAAUGGUAGACGCAACGGACUUAAAAUCCGUUGAUAUUUUUAAUCGUGAGGGUUCAAGUCCCUCCGCUCCCAC